rnacentral:rRNA from 1 species
GACGUAGGGGGCCAGCGUUGUUCGGAAUUCCUGGGUGUAAAGGGUUCGUAGGCGGUGCGGCAAGUUGGGGGUGAAAUCUCUGGGCUUAACCCAGAGGCUGCUUCCAAAACUGCUGUGCUUGAGUGUGGGAGAGGCGCGUGGAAUUGCAGGUGUAGCGGUGAAAUGCGUAGAUAUCUGCAGGAACACCCGUGGCGAAAGCGGCGCGCUGGACCACUACUGACGCUGAGGAACGAAAGCUAGGGGAGCAAACAGG